UCUUGGCUCUGGUGACAGUGCGGUAGGGUCAGAAGCAUUGAAACACUGUGUCUUAUUUGGACCUCUGAAUGCAUUUCCAUAAAGAACGGUACCAGUUGUGACUGGACUGUGCAGGGCCCACAGGACAAAACUACGUGAUUCUUCAGAAAAUCUGAGGUUAGGAUGACUCUUAGGGUAACGUCAGUCUGUGCUGAGAAUGUUGUUCUCGGGGGAGAAUGCUUUCGAGAUUCUGAGCAUUCCAGGUUAGGAAGAACCUUAGAACAUGAUCAGCUUGUAAGUUGAGGGACUGCAUGUAAACUCAAAAAGUGGUUUUUUCCUGCAUGGAAGUGCCCUGUUGUUUGAGACGCUGGAGUGUGUCAGUUCUUUUCUCACCCAGCCCUCUUCUGAAGCUGUCAGAAAAUAUGAAUUCUCUGAUUUUUAGAGUAGCGAAUGUACUAAAAAGGCUCGCAUCUUGACCCUACCAAAAGAAAGCAGGAAGAAAGACCCUGGGAAUAUAGGUUUAGUUCCUCGAUUAUUGCCUUUUAGCAGAGAAUACAAAACCAAAUACACCAUGGCCUUUGCGGAAGGUCUUAUUUUUUCCCUUGAGAAAUAAAAACUUCUGUUCCUUUCUCAGGACUCCUAUAUACCUCUCAUUCUUAAUGCAUUUUGGGGAACAGAUUUGAAGAAUAUAUCUGUGAAUGUUUUCUUUUUCUGGGGAAAUAGAGGAUUUCUUUUUUCUAAAUAGAGAGGUUUUUCUAAAGGUGAUUUAUGUCACCUUUCUUUAGCAAAGUCCGUUUUGUUUUUUUGAAGGCUGUAAAGUAUAGGUCAGCAGUUCAGAGCGAUUAAAUGAUACUUAUCUGGACAGGAACCAAGUCUAUACAGUUGCUUGUGUAAUUUUCACAGAAGGGACAAAACAGUUAAAGAGUAAAAUCCCCCAGCUUCUAAAUGAAUUUUUCUCCCGAACUCGGAAGGGGUGGGCCCACUCGGAACAGGAAGUAAUCGCAGGUCAGCGAUUUGAGUAACGAGAGACGGCUUCUGGAUUUGGCUUAGCUGUUUCCUUCAUGCUGAAAGCCAGGGCAGGCUACAGACACACACCUUCUUCUGCAACAUCUGUAUCUUCCUGGGCUCACCUACUGCACGCGGACACCUGCCCCAUAAGAAUGAGGAGCCGAGGAGACGGCUAGAGCUGGAGGAUGCAAUGGAAGAGGAGGCUGAGCUUCAAACAGUUGCAGGCAGAGGAGAAGUCUUGAAAGUUGGCCUGUCAGCCCUGGUAUAUGGAAUAAUUAGUCCCGAAGAGUCAGAGCAGGACCCAAGAGGAACAGGGUACAAUACAGAAUGGGGACAGGGAUGGGGAGUGUCCACUUUCAUAUGCCACCCAUGGCUCAGAUCUUCCCCCGUUGAAGCGGAUUUUACUUGUAGUUAUACCCAUAUUGACGGUUCCAUAUGUAUUGUGUAAAAAUAUAUUUAUAUUUAAGUUAAUCAAUAAAUUAGUGUUCUGGGCCCUCUCAGUUGUCAAGGACUAGGAUGUCACUCAAAUGAGCUUAAGGCCAAUGGGCUCAUUGUAACAGUGACAGAGACUAUCAUGACAUUGUUCUGAGUACAUGAUCACACGAACUCUUCCCCCCUGCCCUGGGGAGUAGAGUCUUACCAUCCUCAUUCUACUGAGGAGGUGCAGGCUUCAGGAAUGUGCCCUAAGGCAUGUGGCUGGUGGGUGGGAAUCUGGACUCACACCCAGGUGGUCACUUGAAAAAACCAUAGUCUCUCACCACAGUACUGCUCUGCCCUUUGAAAGGAUUCUGAGCCCGUGAAACAAAGAAUAGGUGGGUGUCCUAGGGACAGAGACAAAGGCCUGGAAAAUUGAGAAUGGAGUCAUAAUCUUUCUCAGAGUUUGUGUGGUUUCUCCUCAUUUGGCCCCUCCCGUUUUCUCUCCUAUCUUCCUCUGUUGCUUCGUUUUACAUAUGGCCCCUGAAUGGUUAGCCAUAAGGCUACAGCCUGGGACCUCAGUAUCUUCUGGCUCAGUUCUUAAGGGAGAGUUUCCUAUUGGCCCAGCUCACUGGUUCAGGCCACACAGCUAUUGCAGCCUGGCCAGGAAAAUAAUUAUCUGCCUUUGGGUUGGCUGUUCAUCCCAGGUCCACUGGUGGCUGCCUCGUGCACUGACUUCUCCAGCACCAUUUCUGCAAGCAGGGGAUUGUGGGUAAGGCAUGGGAAGUUGUUCGGAGUAGGAAAUUAACAUCUGGUAUAAGCUCAUUUUAUACUUUAAUACUUUUAAAGUUAAAUAACGCAUUUGCUAUCCUUAUAUAAAGUUUCAGAUUAAAAGAAUCUGUAUCUGUUAAGACUCUUUAGGUUGAUAGAAACCUGAUUCAAAGGGGCUUGGAAAAAUAUUACAUUUAAUUCAUUCUUGUAAGUGUGAAGGCUUAAAGCCUUGGCUGGAUUCAGGUCUCAAACAAUGACAUCAGAAAUCUGUCUCUUGCCAUCGCUUGACUUGACAUUCACCUGAAUUGGUUUCAUCCUCAGGCAGGUCCUCCCUUCAUGACAUCAAGACAUAAUUGGUAGCUCCAGGCUUGUCUGUUAGCUAAGCCACUCCAGUGGGGAGUUUCUCUUUCUUUGGAGCUCUAGCCAGAUUCCCAGAUUUUAUUCUCAUUGUCUGGAUUGGUUCCAUGCCAGUUUCUCAACCAAACAUGGCAGCCAGGCGAAUUGGUCAGGCCUGGGUCACUGCCCACCCUUGGAAAGGGGUUAAAUCACCCCUUUAUUAAAACACAGGGACUAGGAAUGGGGGCGGGGCAUAGUCUCCAGUGACAACUGGGAUAUUAGUACCCAGAGGAAUGAGGAAGGAUGCUGUCCCCACAAAAAUGACCUAUGUUCGCUUUGGAACAUUUUCAGGUAUAUCACAAGUAAUUGGACAUCCAUAAUCAAGGUUUGGGGGCUCAGGGUAAGCAGUUUGGGUCACUGGCUUUAUCUUAUUUGUAUGCGACAAAUUCAAAGACCAAGGAAAUUACAAGCGUUUGGAAAGGCCUAGAUCUGUGGUUUUUAGUUGUUAAUCCUGAAAGAUGAUACUAUUAUAUCAAACAAACUUGUUUUUAAGACUUGCAUCUUUUUGAGAGAGCGAGUCACCCGAUGGUCUUGUCUCCAUUUUUUGAUUAAGUAGGAGGAUAAGACUUGAAAAGCUCUUGUUAGGUGCCCUCUAUUUAAAGUCUAAGCUGUUCUGGCAUUGAAAUGACUUUGGUGAAUUACAUAAAGGCUUUGCGUAAACCUUUAGCAGUGCCUAGGAUUUAAGGCCCAGUUUAUCUAGGUAAUGAUUAAAUUGUCCUGUUUAUAUGUCCAUAAUCUUAAUACCUACUGGGAAGUAAUUGCUUGGUUUUUAACUAUCUCAUAAAUCAGGAACUUCAAGGCCAGGGGAGGUUAAAUUAGCAAGUCCUCAUGCUUGCAGAUACAGGUUGAAUCUGUGUAACCUCGAAUCUUGAGGAGUAGUUGUUGUGUGUGUGUGUGUGUGUGUGUGUGUGUGUGUGUUUGUGUCUGUCUGUCUGUGUGUGUGUGUGUAGAUACAGCUUUGUGCUGACAGAACUUCCGUAUCUCUUUGCUUACUGUACCUACUGCGGUCCCAGAUGCCCUUUGGAACAAGUCAUCAGCAGCCUGAGCAGACGGAUAUGGAUUGAUUUGCCUUAAAUCCUGAAGAGGGAGGUAGGGAUCGUAGUUAGAUAUGCAGCAAAAGCCAGAGGAGCAGUGGGGCUUGGAGGAAGGGCGAGAGCGUGGUCGGGGAUCAUUGAAGGCUUCACCAGAGGCCUUGGUGGGAGGGAGCGGGGGUGGGGGGCUGCCUCGCAGGCAGGGCAGUUUAAUGGUUAGGCAUGUGGGCUUUGGGGUCUGACUUCCUGGUCUGAAUCCUCGUGGUGUCUUGCUAGGUUUGUGACUGUGGGCAAGUUACUCAACCCUCUGAGCCUUUGUUGUUUUUAAAAGGAGGAUAAUGGCAGUACCUGUCUCACAAUGUUGGGGAGAUUAAAUGAGAAAAUGCAUGUGAAGAUCUCAGAGCUGUGCUUAGUGUGUUGUAAGCAUUCAGUAAGUUAUUAACAUUAGUUAUCAAUAUUUUAACGAGCAGAGGAUGGGGUAGAGUGUGCCUGGGGAGAAGAGACGAGGUGGUUGCAGGCUGACGACGUGUGUGGACGAUGGAUGGAGGACAUGGCUUCCAUCUGUGAACGGCUGUCCGGUUUGUCCGGAGUUCGGGUCACCAAGGCUCCCUUUCUCUCUUCUGUGUUUUCCAAGGAGUCACCUCCUGGAAGAAGUUUCCUGAAAGGGGCUUCAAAGCAGCAUAGAAGCAUAUCCUGGCCUGCCUAACAAUCUGUUUCUCAUUGUACACGAGCAAACCGGCCUUCUGGUUUAUCAAUCAGUAUCUUGAGCAUUUGGUUGGCGUGAGUCAGUUCCCCAGAGUCUCAUCACCCCUGAGGGAACUGAUAAAAUCAAAUUCCUGAAUGCAGAGCUGAAGACCAGGCCUUGGACCUGCAGUGACCCCUUGGAGGCACAGGCACUGAGAGGCCCAGCUCCAAACAGAGAACCUGCCCACCUCUUUUUCUCCUCCUUCUUGCUCCAGCCUUUACACUUUUAAACAGUGUGACAAGAUGAACCUCAAAUUCCUGAUGGGAUUGAGCAGAGGAGCGGCAUGCAGAAGGAAGUGCCCAUUAAAUGCUUGUUGAACUAAUGAAGGGUCUUCGCUGCUGGUGAUAGAAUGGGCAGUGGCCUGGGGCAGGAGGAGUCAUGCUCUGGCAGCAGGAGUCUGGAUUCUGGUCCCUUCUCCCACUUAAUGUGUGCCUUUAGACAGAUCCUUUAACUGAUCCUCACACGCCUUAUUUGUGCAACAAGAUAAAAUCUUUCCCUACUGAAGGCUGAAUGCCCUCUUGGUUUCUCUCCCAGCUCUAACAGUUACACCCUAACAAGAUGACUGCCAAGAAGGGUUGGGGAUGUUAUGGCACAAAAUUUUCUACCAUGUGGAAUCCAAACUCCAGCCUUCCUUUCUUCCACCGGUCUUCCAAAGGAUAGGGACUGGCUUCAGCUUAAUGGAUUAACUUCUUUGAGAAGCACUGAAAAAUCUUCAAGACAUCUCAUGAAAACUGACUUAGAUCCUUUAAAAUUGUAAAUGGUAGCUUCUGAGGAAUUUUCGAAAUUUAAUGCCACAUUAAUAAAAAUAUCUGGAACUAA